GAUCAUGGCUCAGAUUGAACGCUGGCGGCAGGCUUAACACAUGCAAGUCGAGCGGAAACGAGAAAUAGCUUGCUAUUUCGGCGUCGAGCGGCGGACGGGUGAGUAAUGCUUGGGAAUAUGCCUUUGAGUGGGGGACAACAGUUGGAAACGACUGCUAAUACCGCAUAACGUCUACGGACCAAAGGGGGGGAUGCUUCGGCACCUCUCGCUCAUAGAUUAGCCCAAGUGAGAUUAGCUAGUUGGUAAGGUAAGAGCUUACCAAGGCGACGAUCUCUAGCUGGUUUGAGAGGAUGAUCAGCCACACUGGGACUGAGACACGGCCCAGACUCCUACGGGAGGCAGCAGUGGGGAAUAUUGGACAAU
rnacentral:rRNA from 1 species